rnacentral:tRNA from 1 species
UGGGUUGUGACUCAGUGGUAGAGUGCUCGCCUUGCAUGUGUGAAGCCCUGGGUUCAAUCCUCAGCACCACAU